AUGUGAACUUCUGAGCACAGCUUUAAAUGUGAAUCAAAUCAUCAUUAGUACAAAACUGAAAAACAAAUCCAUUCCUCUUACACAGAAAACAAAGAGCACAUCCACUGGCACAGAAAGCAUAACGGACCUGACAAAGUGUCACUAUUUGAGCCAAUAUGAGAAAUUAUUAGUUUGGAAAUUCAGAUUGAAUUACCACUCUUGUGUUUUUCUGAGUACACUAGAUACAUACUGAUGGUGUUCCCCCCGAGCAGCUUGAACUGAUUUCUGCUUCUGUUUUUGGAUUUAAUUCUUCAGUUAAACCUUCACAGACCUAUGUGGUUUUACCAUUAAAUAUAUAUAUACUCUAUGCUACAUAGCAAAAUUUAGUUCUGAUUAACUGCAUCAUGCUUCCAGCUUAGCUCAAAGCAUCUGAAGACAUUUUACUCGAUUAAAACUCUGAUCCUAUGUUUUUUCUUUUUUCUUUAACAAGAUCAGGGCAGCGCUCGUCUGUAUCAGGCAGAGUGCACUUAUCUGAAUGACAAACACGGGGCCCUUUGUCUGCCAUGAUAGAAAAUGACAUUGAGAAAUCGCACUGUAGCUUCCGUAACAAAACAUGGCGCUGCCUCUUUGUCAUACCAUAUAUGGACGGGUGAUCUGGCAACGUCCCGCGGUUUGAUUCUGUUAGCGGGACUGACCUGUGACCUCUUUUUUCUGUGUGAGUCCAGUGUAACUGUUUAUGUCAACAUCACUCCUCUCCCUCCAUCCUGACUGAGCGGCUCCCGCUCACAGCAAGUAUAUCUGCACCAACGCCUCCAGCUUUUCCCAAAAAGUUAGAACAACAGAUGUUCACGUACACCAGAAAAUGUAUUUGUACAAACACAGACACACAUGCCAUGAAACACACUGGCAAUAAUCAAAUAAAAAUCACUUGUAUAUACAUGUACUGUAUGUACACACAUGCAGUAUUUAUCAGUUAUAAAUUAAGACAAAUUGCUGCAAAUAGUCAAACAUACAAAGUCAAUUUGAGUUAUUUAAAGCAUAACAAGUUGUUUUAUGCCCUUAAAUAUAAUCACUGUGUAUUUGAAGUAUCACCGCUGCACUGGGUUCUUUGACACUAAAAUAUGUAUUACAGAGACUCCGGGGGGGUGAUUUUGUUCAGCUUUUACAAGAAAGAUAUUCAUUCUAAAUCCACAGGAGACAUACUGAGCACAUGGAGUCAUUAGCAAAGUGAUGACUUGCUUUCUAUAUCAGGUAUUAUUUUUUAAAAGACAAGGUUAGAAAGGAUUAGUAAGAAGCUGAAAAUUGCUUGAUACAAUUCCUUAAUCAUCCUCAACAGCUUAUUAAAAAUCCCCAUGUGUCCUCCUAGAGCUUUUUCCCCUUAAGAUGUCACAAUUGUUUUUCAGAGUCAU